CAACUCCCUGCCAGUAGCAUUUAUUUAGAGUGAAGAGGACAACAUUGAAGUGUCAUGAACAAGGCCCACGGAAGGCUCCCAGGAAGGAGCUAGUCGACAGAUGGCGAAAGAGACUCAAGGCAGAUGGUUAUCUAGAAAAACCUGCUUAUUUUUCUGAAUAAUUAUGACAAACGACAUGAUUUCGAUUUAAAAAAAAAGAGAGAGAGAACGCAUCUACUGUCGACGGAUGGUGGAUGUGAGCCAUGUGUUGAGUUCAUACUUGGAGAAUGAAGGAAAACAUCAGACACUGGUGAAGAGAUCAGGAGUUACUCAAAUCCCAGCCAUCUGAAGGAAUCUUAAGCCGCAUAUGAUUUCGGACAAAGUUUCUGCUUUUAUAGGGCAAAGCGGUGCCCAGGACUGAGCUUUGUAUGUGGCAAAUGCCUUGUACUAUUUAAAUGAAUGAAUAAAGAGGUUUGUGGACAGCA
rnacentral:lncRNA from 1 species